ACUUCUUGUCUUCGUACGUAGCUUGCCCUGUGACUGUUUCUUGAUGUGAGGAGAGAGCUUCGUUACAGAUUCGUGGCUCUUGGAUUUGUGAUCCAUGAGGUUCUUGGGUGGUUUGGUUUGGUUGGAUGGAUGGAUGCCUUGGUUACUGCAUAAGGAUUUCUUGGUGAUAUUUCUUCUCCGCGUGAUAGAGGGGAUCUUGUUUCUGUGGCUUACGUAAUCUCUUCUGAGAAAUCUGCCUAAGAUUAGUACUUACUGAGCACAGAAUGACUUGGAUCAGUGCAUAGAGUUUUAUAUGUUCAGGUGAAGAAGGCAUACAGUUACUUUGAGCUGCUACCAGUAUAAUUUGACUUGCCUUUGAAUUGGUGUGAAAACUUUGAAUUAUACUAGUAAUUUAUGAGGUAAAAUUGACGUUAGAUUACUGGGAGAACUUGCAAAUGUUGAUAUUAUGAGGAAACACUGAGAGUCUGUUGUCAUCUGUCAUGAUGAACAGAUGUUGGCAAUUUUGCAUAUUUUAAUGCAAAUUGCAAAAAUUCCAAAGUUGUUAUAAUUAAAGGAAAUCGGUGGCAUUGCACUGGAUCGGAUGGUUCAUAUAGCUUAUUUAAAGCAAUGCUUAAGUACCUUAAUCAAUGUAGUCCGGUCCAGAAGAAAACAGAAAAGCUCUAGGGGUCACCCAAGCACAACAAAUGACAGCACAUGAUUCAGAUCUCGCUGAAGUCAAGGAGCAUUUCUUUACCAAUGCUUUGCUUCUCCACAUCAAUGUCAUGUGUUAAGCGAAUAGAAAAUGCCAACUUUCUUGUUACAAGUGUACACUGCCAUGUGCUUCUUGCCUGACCUGGAGUCUCCAGCAUCAUUGGAUUCCAAAUGUGUACUUGGGUCACACACUUGAUUUGGUAUCAGGUCUGGUUUGAAAAGCUCCGUUGAUAUAUUAGUUGCAUGUUUAUCCUUGUGUAUUGCACUGAUUUCUUGGUUUAGGUAUUUCAAAUCGCUGCAACAUAUCAAUUCUUGAAAAUUUUCCAGUGCUGGUUGCUGGCCAGGAAGCAAGGCAAUUGGUUAAUUAUUUUUUUCUACAUCUUAUCAGAAAAAUUUUAGAUCUUGUACGGGGUGGCACAAAUAAAUGUAAACAAACCUACUAUUUGAAUUCCCAAACCAGCAGCCUGCUGGCUCUAAAGUCCCAAGUCCCAGUUACUACUAGAAUUUGGCUUUCAUGUGAACAUACUUGAUAGACUUAGCGAACUCCUAUCAUGCUGUUUAUAUUUGAGCUCUGUUAGCUUCACUAUAUCGUUUUUUU